UACGUAGGGUGCGAGCGUUGUCCGGAAUUAUUGGGCGUAAAGAGCUCGUAGGCGGUUUGUCGCGUCUGCUGUGAAACUGGGGCUCAACCCCAGCCUGCAGUGGGUACGGGCAGACUAGAGUGCGGUAGGGGAGAUUGGAAUUCCUUGGUGUAGCGGUGGAAUGCGCAGAUAUCAGGAGGAACACCGAUGGCGAAGGCAGAGUC
rnacentral:rRNA from 1 species